rnacentral:rRNA from 1 species
CCUACGGGAGGCAGCAGUGGGGAAUAUUGCACAAUGGGCGAAAGCCUGAUGCAGCGACGCCGCGUGAGGGAUGACGGCCUUCGGGUUGUAAACCUCUUUCAGCAGGGAAGGAGCGCAAGUGACGGUACCUGCAGAAGAAGCACCGGCUAACUACGUGCCAGCAGCCGCGGUAAUACGUAGGGUGCGAGCGUUGUCCGGAAUUAUUGGGCGUAAAGAGCUCGUAGGCGGCUUGUCGCGUCGGAUGUGAAAGCCCGGGGCUUAACUCCGGGUCUGCAUUCGAUACGGGCAGGCUAGAGUUCGGUAGGGGAGAUCGGAAUUCCUGGUGUAGCGGUGAAAUGCGCAGAUAUCAGGAGGAACACCGGUGGCGAAGGCGGAUCUCUGGGCCGAUACUGACGCUGAGGAGCGAAAGCGUGGGGAGCGAACAGGAUUAGAUACCCUGGUAGUCCACGCCGUAAACGUUGGGAACUAGGUGUGGGCGACAUUCCACGUCGUCCGUGCCGCNGCUACGCAUUAACGUUCCCGUCCCGUCGGGAGGUACGGCCGCGACGGACGUAAACCGUACGAAGGAAGUUAGACGGCGUGAGACGUGCCGAACGGACGACGACGAGGGAGGUAGG